AGGCUGUUCAUCUUUCCUCAGAGCUAUCUGGAUUAGAGUGCAUCUGGGUUGCUUCAGAAGUAGUGCCGGUCCCCAGAGCAUGAUGGCAUUAUGGAGCAGACACUAUGGCUUAACUCACAAGAGGUGAACAUCCUGACCAGAGCAAAGAAGGAGCAGAAGUUGUUGUACUGAAGAACUUGACCUAUUGAUUCUACAUUUUUAAACACCUUUGCAAUGCUCCUUCUUACCCAAAUAGCUAUGGCUAUCCUGAUUACUGUGUGAGCUUUGCCUCUGAAAAAAUACAUUUAUGAUAGUAUCCUAAUUUGCUUUUGAGAAAGAAAACUUCUAGUUUUCAUAUGCUGAUUGCAGUGAGGAUGCCUCCAAUAUAUAUCACUGUACUCCCAUUAAACUAAUUGAUAAAGUUUUCCUGGGAACAAGGUUAGGCCACUUCAGAAAACCCAGCCUCACAUUCCCUGCCCUUUCUCACAUCUAGGAAAUCUCUAAGACGGUUGGGAGCUCAAACCUAAUCUUAGUUUAGGAUUUAAUGCUGUAAUCCAAAGAACAUCCUUUCCAGUAGAAAUUUCUGGUUACUAGACCUGCUCUCAUUCUACUGGAGUGAGGGCUGACAGGAUUGUAAUUAGCUGGACACUUCCAUCUAUCUUUUCAUGCUGGAUCAGCAUGGUGAAAUGCAGGCUAUGUAUUCAAAGCACUUAAAAAGCCAUGUACUUUAAAGUGGAAUCUGAUCAACCUGUGGAAUUUGUUGCUGAGGGAUAUGGAGGCAAACAGUUUGAAAGCCAGGGUAGGAUUAACCACUCAAAUAGGAAUAAUACCUGAAGUUAACUUAUGAGGUUAAAAUAUUAUGAGGUAUAUCAUAAGUUCUUUUGCUUCUAGGCAUAAACUGCCAGCUGAGCUUGUGAAAGAAUUUGUUUUUGCUCCUUCUUAUUGCUCCAAGCCAUUUGUGGGAUGCUUUCACAGGGUGUGAGGCACCUGACUAAGUUGCCGCUGGAGGGUAGGAUAGCAAACAGGAAUGGUCAAUAGUUAUUGUGGAGCAGUAGCUCCCAUGCUAAUUUUGAUCCCUCUGGUUCACCUCCAUGUGGGAGGCAAAUGAUGCAGCUAGAGGGCUGCUUUAUAUUAAAUUUUGUUUGCAAAAAAUUGUCAACACUGGGGAGUAGUUUAGCCUCCAGUCACUUCAUGGCCACUUUUCCAUACAAAAUAAACCCCCCUGAUUACGCAUGUGUGUGUGUGUCUUCUGCCAUGUGAAUAUUUUAAUAUGAAUUAAAUCCAGUUGCCACUUA